GAUGAACGCUGGCGGCGUGCCUAAUACAUGCAAGUCGAGCGAACAGACGAGGAGCUUGCUCCUCUGACGUUAGCGGCGGACGGGUGAGUAACACGUGGAUAACCUACCUAUAAGACUGGGAUAACUUCGGGAAACCGGAGCUAAUACCGGAUAAUAUAUUGAACCGCAUGGUUCAAUAGUGAAAGACGGUUUUGCUGUCACUUAUAGAUGGAUCCGCGCCGCAUUAGCUAGUUGGUAAGGUAACGGCUUACCAAGGCGACGAUGCGUAGCCGACCUGAGAGGGUGAUCGGCCACACUGGAACUGAGACACGGUCCAGACUCCUACGGGAGGCAGCAGUAGGGAAUCUUCCGCAAUGGGCGAAAGCCUGACGGAGCAACGCCGCGUGAAUGAUGAAGGUCUUCGGAUCGUAAAACUCUGUUAUUAGGGAAGAACAAAUGUGUAAGUAACUAUGCACGUAUUGACGGUACCUAAUCAGAAAGCCACGGCUAACUACGUG
rnacentral:rRNA from 1 species